CUUCAGAUGCAGAUGUGUUGACUUGCAUCUUCGAAACCAUCACAUCCUCCAUGAAAGAAUGUCGGGCCAUUCACGCCCAUCACAUGAAGGUUGAACUUUAAGGCUGCUUGCAGGACCAUUGUCAAAGCUGUAAGUCCUUCCUCUUCAGCACGAGGCUGCUUUGUGAUCAUCCAAUUCCUGCAGGAAACAACCUCUGGAUAAAACAGCAUCGCAUCGUUCCAUUGGCCUGAAAAUCGCUUCUUUGCAAAUCUAUCCUCUACCCACAGAAUGCGCUUGUUU